rnacentral:lncRNA from 1 species
AGUGUGAUAACUUAUACUGUCUCCCCUAAUUCAUUUGAGUUCAGGAAAUAAACAAUAAUAAAUAACUGCGCAAUAAGAAACAGCUGAGAAUAAAUAUGGAAAUAAAAAAUAGUACUUUGUACUGGAGCACUUCUAAUUAGUAAAUAAUGAAGAAACGAGGAAUCAAUAUUAUUUAAAAUACAACAUGAGUAACUCAGCUAUUGGUCAAAUUCAGUAUCUAUGGAUGAUCUCUGUCAUUGCUCAAAGUGCUAACAAUCUUGUUUGCCGCGCAAUGAAGUUCAUUCUUCCUUGUGUCAUCUCUCAUCAUGCUACAAAUCUCAAGUGAUGUUUAUGAAUUAUGAUUACUUAAUAACAGACCAUCUAUCUAUAUCAUUCAUAGUAAGGGAAUGACGUCAGUAAAAAGAAGAUUCUAAUUAAAUUUAAAGGUAAAAAAUAGGAUUUUAAUUAUUUUAGAUUCACCUUGAGCUGAUCGAUGGCAUCUGAGGAAGAGCUCAGAGACUCUAUUCGACAAAGUUUAGACGAAAGAGGUGUUUUGUCUGAUAUAAAGUCUCGACUACGCCUAGAGAUUCUAAAAUCUCUAAAUGAAGAACCAGAAAAAGAGGUAAAAGAAGAAUCCGAAGAUAAUUUUCUAAUUAAUGAGCUCAUUAAAGAAUAUUGCUCAUGGAACGGAUAUUUGCACACGUCCAGAGUUCUGUCAGAAGAGUCGGGGCAUCCCUCUGUUGACUUAAGCCGUUCACAACUUGAAUCCUCCUUUCGUAUGAAUCCUGGUCCAAACUCUAGGAAAGUCCCUUUAUUGUACACACUCCUCUCCAUCAUAAAAAAAUAAGCCUCUCUACAAUUAAUUUACAAAUUAUAAGAGUGGCCAAAAAAUUAACUUUUAUUAUAUCAUCACGGUGGCAUGUAUUGUAUACUGAAAAAAGUGUUAAUGAAUUAAGUUUGUAAGGAAAUAAACAUGGGUUUGUAUUUUUGAAAGAACAGAAUGUAUUUUAUGCUAGGAAUGAUAUAAAAAUAUAAAUUCAUAAUUAUUAUAA